UACAUUGAAAGGUAUCUUGUGUGUUUAUAUAUUAUGGGUUACAUUGGAACAUUGUUGCAACGUGUUUGAUUAACGUUUCUUUGAACGUUGUCACCAACCUAAUAUUGAACGAGUCAAUUAGUGAUUUUAUCUGUCUGUGUCUCUCUCAUUUCAGAACGGCGGCAUGAUCAGAAACACGUUAUAUCUUUCCAUUCCGUUGAUUGGUUGACAUGAGAUGAUAUUGGACUUGUGCUCAUUUAUUAAUUAACAGGUGACACCAGCGCGCCUACCUUUAUAAAUCAAUCCCCUACUGUCUCGUUAAAAGGAAUCAGUUCUGGCUGUUGAUUCCAAUGAGGACUAGGUCACAGUUGAGCAGCAGGUGACCAAUGCUUAUAACUGCUUCAUUUAUGGAAAGCUUUGGGGAAAAAAACCUUCCUCAUCCUUUGAGUUUGUCAAACAAUUUGGUUUAUGCAAGUACAUUUUUACCUACCUUUACCCCUUAUUUCUCUGCCAUUUUUAAAACCUACUAUGUAAAGGCAGUAUAUGUAACCUGGAAUUGGCAUGUGUUUUAAACGUAGCCGUUGUGAAUAUAACGACGAAGAGCCGACUGGCCCAUUUGAGAUGCUACCCCGUGUGGUUCAUACUAGGCCUACACCCUUUGAGUAAAAGGGUCAUUUUAUUCUUCAGACCGAUUUCUCAAAAGUUCAUCUCAGGGGUCGUGGGCUGGUUGGUAAUCAUCUUGUCCUGCUGCUGUGGAGAGUCCCAGUCUUUAUCAGCAACAACAUGGUGACGGCUCAGAUCUUCUGGGAGAGGCUGUGGAUGAUACUGUGACGUGCAGAGUACUGGACAGUUGCAAGGAACAAAAGCACAUUUUCUCAAGACUCUUUCUCUGACUGGUGUUUCAUUCACCUUUUUAAAGAUGGUGUACGACUCCACGUUGACUCUCCCCAGAGAGCUGCAGAACCAUCGUCUCCAUCUUGGUCUCCAUGGUCGCCAGCAUCGCCGGGAUGGGGGGAAAGUGCAACGGCUGCUCGGCGCGAGGGUUCCGGAACCAAGGCCCAGGUUGCCACGGCAGCUGGGGUUCUGUUCCCGAUUUGCCGGGGUGCUGAGUCUGGUGUCUCUCAGCUGGACAGCUCCGUGUCAUCACUGACUUCUAUAAUCCUCUGGAACACCAGGGAUUAAAGAGCUGGGUGCGGCCAUCUUUAUCUGCCGGGGAGGGGGAGCUCUCAUGGCCAGGGGGUCUCCUGGUGUUCUCGUGCCCACAGAGGGAUGGCCCUGGAUGGGAUAAGGGUUGGUAUAAUAAACCACCACUAACCCUGCCCGCAGCCAUGGCACGUCUCAUGUCUGAUCUGCCCGACCAGAGGAGGACCCUAUUCCCUAUGUAGUGCCCGACAUGUUCCCUAGGAUGGUAUUUGGAAACAUUUCCCUAUGUAGAGACCAGGGUCCUAUUCCCUAUAUAGUGCACUACUUUAGACCAGUGUCCUAUUCCCUAUAUAGUGCACUACUUUAGACCAGAACCCUAUUCCUUAAAUAGUGCACUACUUUAGACCAAGGUCCU